AUACUUUUGUAAGGCAGCACAUAUACUAAAAUUGGAACAGUACAGAGAAGAUUAGCAUGGCCCCUGCGCAGGGAUGACAUGCAAAUUCGUGAAGAGUUCCAUGUUCCA
ensembl:snRNA U6 U6 spliceosomal RNA